rnacentral:lncRNA from 1 species
UGUACUCCGAAGAUGCUAUCCCUGCACUGUUUUAAAAUGCUAUUCUUCCUGGAGUGAAUUGGAAAUACAGAAUGAAAACAGGAAUCAGCAAAUGGAAAAAUCUAUGGUGUUAAAGGUCCCACUGUAUAAUUAUACACACACUUGAAGAUGGACACGACAAC